UGGGGAAUAUUGCACAAUGGGCGAAAGCCUGAUGCAGCGACGCCGCGUGCGGGAUGAAGGCCUUCGGGUUGUAAACCGCUUUUAAUUGGGAGCAAGCGAGAGUGAGUGUACCUUUUGAAUAAGCACCGGCUAACUACGUGCCAGCAGCCGCGGUAAUACGUAGGGUGCAAGCGUUAUCCGGAAUUAUUGGGCGUAAAGAGCUCGUAGGCGGUUUGUCACGCCUGGUGUGAAAGUCCAUCGCUUAACGGUGGAUCUGCGCCGGGUACGGGCAGGCUAGAGUGCAGUAGGGGAGAUUGGAAUUCCCGGUGUAACGGUGGAAUGUGUAGAUAUCGGGAAGAACACCAAUGGCGAAGGCAGAUCUCUGGGCUGUUACUGACGCUGAGGAGCGAAAGCAUGGGGAGCGAACAGGAUUAGAUACCCUGGUAGUCCAUGCCGUAAAACGGUGGAUGCUGGAUGUGGGACCCUUCCACGGGUUCCGUGUCGGAGCUAACGCGUUAAGCAUCCCGCCUGGGGAGUACGGCCGCAAGGCU
rnacentral:rRNA from 1 species